rnacentral:RNase_P_RNA from 1 species
AAACCGCAAGCGUGCAGUCGCUGUACGGCAUAAAAACCGUGCAGAGGAAAGUCCGAACUUCACAGGGCAGGGUGCCGGUCGAGAGCCUUUCGGGGCUCAAGGCCGGGGAUAGCGGCGCAAGCCGCUUAUCACAGAGAGUGCAACAGAAAGCAUACCGCUCAGGGCAACCGGAGUAAGGGUGAAACGGCGGUGUAAGAGACCACCAGACAUUUCAGUAAUGGAGUGUGCUCGGCAAACCUCCCCGAAGCAAGGCUAAAUAGGAAAGCUUUCCCCCCGCGGGGAAAAGAGCGGCCCGUUCAAUUCCGAAAGGAGAGUUUUCGGGUAAGCCGCAUCAGAUAAAUGGCUGCAGUUUUGCCCGGCUACCGGGCAAUUCACAGAAUUCGGCUUACAGCUUCGGUUUCGGU